rnacentral:rRNA from 1 species
GAUGAACGCUGGCGGCGUGCCUAAUACAUGCAAGUCGAGCGAACGGAUGAGAAGCUUGCUUCUCUGAUGUUAGCGGCGGACGGGUGAGUAACACGUGGAUAACCUACCUAUAAGACUGGGAUAACUUCGGGAAACCGGAGCUAAUACCGGAUAAUAUUUUGAACCGCAUGGUUCAAAAGUGAAAGACGGUCUUGCUGUCACUUAUAGAUGGAUCCGCGCUGCAUUAGCUAGUUGGUAAGGUAACGGCUUACCAAGGCAACGAUGCAUAGCCGACCUGAGAGGGUAAUCGGCCACACUGGAACUGAGACACGGUCCAGACUCCUACGGGAGGCAGCAGUAGGGAAUCUUCCGCAAUGGGCGAAAGCCUGACGGAGCAACGCCGCGUGAGUGAUGAAGGUCUUCGGAUCGUAAAACUCUGUUAUUAGGGAAGAACAUAUGUGUAAGUAACUGUGCACAUCUUGACGGUACCUAAUCAGAAAGCCACGGCUAACUACGUG